GAAUCUGCGCAUGCAGUAAAGGUUCACGAGGGCCCCCCGCCCCCUGCCUUUUCACCGUGUUCCUCACAGGUCUGGGGAGUAUGCUUGUUAGAGGAUGCUGACAUCCAACCGACACCCAUGUGGCAUCUAAUUUCUGAGCAAGCACCUACUAGGCAUGGCCAGAUGACACGGAAAUGUGUGCCCCUGUUCCCCAGAGAGGAUAGUCUCGUGGAUCUUGAAAAAGCCUGAGGGGAUAUUUAAAAUCCUUCAGUCCAGGAGGAUUGUUGAGGCAGAGCAGGGUCCUAGGGAGCACUUGCCAAAGGCUGCAGAACACUCCAGAAAGCAGCAGGAGCAUCCCCUGCCCAAGACCUGACUCAGCCUUGGCCCCUGAGUAUUGACACCCUUCUUUCACAGGUGAGAAAAGAGAGGCCCAGGGAGUUCAGGGAGCAUCUGUCUCCCUGAACUGGGAUUCCCUUCCGUGGAAAGGGCUGGCUGAGAAAUAAAAUCUAGGAAAAAAAAAAGAACGAUGAAAAAAAUCAGAGAACACAAAACAUAUUUCAAAAGUGGGGGUGGGGUGGGCUAGCCGAGCUUCUAUACUAAUGGCAAAAUGGAGCCCACACCUGCUUCAUUUAUAUUGGAUGACAUCAAAGGCCUUCCAUAGAAUGUUCUUCUCCAAGAAAGGUUAAAGGUGGACUGCCCAGUUCCCAACGGGUUAUGCUCAUUUCUGGAGCGACCACGAGAGCUCUUCCUAGCAGAGCUAAGACAAAGCUCACAUGCCUUGGGCAAUCUAUUGCACGGAGAGCCACAGAUAGUUCCCAAGGUUAAACUUAAUCACCGGCUUCAAGCCGAGAGAAGAUCCUCGUGUGUUUUCAUGGAUGGCUCCCCACACAUCUCGUUCAAAGAUACAGCUGCUGCCUGAGCUGGGGAAUUCAGGACCCAUUUCUAGGAUGAAUGAGUGAACAGGGACGGAAGCUCACUCGCUCUGGUCUUCAGAAGCAUCUAGACCUUCCCAGCCUGCCACAGUCUGUCCUCCCAACUGCUGUUGUCACUGUGUCGGAGCUGCUCUCCUUUCUGCAUGCCCUGGUUCGGAUCCCUGGAGUGGACUCCAGAGCCCACAGAGGUCCUUGGAGUAGAAGCAGACGUGGACACCUCUCCGGCCCUACCUCUGAUCACCGAGUUCCUUCUGGAGGUUCCUCUCCACUCCUUGGGCUCCGGGUCUCGCUUCCCUUUCCUCCUAUGACCCUAGUGGUUUCCCCUCCAUGCCUUACUUUACUGAGUUUUUUCUUGCCCUUCCCUUUUCUGGAAAGUUCUUCCUCAGCAGCGACAGUCUUUGGUUCUAGCUAAGCAUGACCUCCUCGGAAGGAAUCAGGUUCUGGGUUCCCAAAGCACUGGAGCUGGUCUGUUACCAUCCCUGUCUGCUACCAUCACAAGUGUG
rnacentral:lncRNA from 1 species